UCUCUUAUUAUACCUAUAGUAUCUCCUUUGUAUUUAACUUUUGAAAUCAAACAAUUUGUAAGUUUUCUAUUAUAAACACUUCCCUUCCUCUAACAAUAAAUCCCAAUCCUGACAAAAGAGUUGAUCCCAAUAUCACAGGAGCAUCAUUGCCUGCAGCUCCAAUACAUAAUCCUAACAGGAAAAAGAUAAUCAAGGAAAGAAAUAAGGAGCCUCGUCCCUAGUCUCUUACGUCUACUUUUCUUGUAAAAGUCACGUCCUUGGAUUUGCAUCGUCUCCUAUAGAAAUGACAUCUCAUUCACAAAUAAGAUACCACAUCUUCACGACGUGAAACUACAUAUAGUUAAGUGCAAAGACUAAAAUCAAUUGUGGAGACUAAAUUUCUUUGAUUCAAAGUGGAAAAUAAAAAUAGUCAAAUUACAAAUA